UACGGGGGGGAGCAAGCGUUGUUCGGAAUCACUGGGCGUAAAGGGAGUGUAGGCGGUUCGGUAAGUGGGAUGUGAAAUCCCCGGGCUCACCCCGGGACCUGCAUCCCAAACUGCUGAGCUUGAGUACAGGAGAGGGUGGGGGAAUUCCAGGUGUAGCGGUGAAAUGCGUAGAUAUCUGGAGGAACACCGGUGGCGAAGGCGCCCACCUGGCCUGCUACUGACGCUGAAACUCGAAAGCUAGGGGAGCAAACGGG
rnacentral:rRNA from 1 species